GGAGGGUACAGCUCAGUAGGAGAGUGUGUGCUUAGCAUGCAGAGGUCCUGGGUUCAAUCCUCAGUCCCUCCA
rnacentral:tRNA from 1 species